ACGGCCUUAUUUAUAUUAAAAAAAAAUGAACGAAAAACAAAUAUGUAACACAUAAACAAACAACAACCACUGAAUUACAGGCUCCUGACUUGGGACAGGCACAUACAUAAAUAAUGUGGCGGGGUUAAACAUGUUAGCGGGAUCUAUGUUUGUGUUCGAUCAUACAGUAUAAUAAGUCGGUAGUUGCCCGCGAAUGGAUUUUUUUUUAUUCUUUGCGUCUUAUUUGUUGAUUGCAGUUGGUUUUUGUUUUGUGUCAUGUGGAGAUAUGAUGUGAUUUUGUUUUUCUUUUGAUGUGUUUGCAUCUUAAAUUGGGAUUGCACCGAGUUAUUUCAUGAUUUCUUUUGUGCUAUAUUUUCGAUACAUUUUUAGUCUAUCUUAUAGCAUCUUACAAUUGUCCG
rnacentral:lncRNA from 1 species